rnacentral:tRNA from 1 species
GGGAGUGUGGCUCAGUGGUAGAAUGCUUGCUUAGCACACAUGAGUCUCUGGAUUCAAUCCCCAGCACCACCA